UAUAGUUUGAAAAACUAAAACCUCCCUUUUAUUAUUGCCAUUCGUUCUGUCAUCAGGUAUGUAACUUGAGAAUAGAAAUCGCUGCAUCUUUUAGGCGCAUCAAUAUUACAUAGUUACAUCCCGAGCUAAUAGAAGGAAGGUAAAAAGGACCAACGUCUUUCCACCAAAUUCCUAAA